rnacentral:rRNA from 1 species
CGGUGCCGUAAACCCGCAAGGGACGGACGCGUACCGAACGGUAGAGNGUCAGUGACUGGGGUG